rnacentral:lncRNA from 1 species
AGUUACACAUACAUGUAUACAUACUUUUUUCUCCCGUUAUCAUGCUCCGUCGUAAGUACCCAGACAUAGUUCUCAGUGCUACACAGCAGGAUCUCAUUGUUAAUCCAUUCCAAAAGCAACAGUUUUCAUUCGUUAACCCUAAGCUCCUGAUCCCUCCCACUCCCUCCCCCUCCUCCUGGGCAACCACAAGUCUGUUCUCCAAGUCCAUGACUUUAUUUUCUAUGGAAAGGUUCGUUUGUGCUGUAUAUUAGAUACCAGAUAUAAGUGAUAUCCUUGGGUUUUCUUAUGUAAGCAUUGGCUAUUAUUCUUUUUAAAAAAUGUUGCUGACUAUGUACUCUCUUAAUUAGAAUCUCUCGGUGGUCCCACCGUAUGUGGGGCACCCUCCACAUCAGGCCUGCAAGGUCUCACAUGGGCGUAUUGCUGACUGCCUCCCUCAUUUCUUCCCUCACUGCCUCUGCUGUUUGCUCACCAUACUCAAGCCAUCCUUGCCUUCCACUCAUUCACGACGCACGCCAAGGCCCCUCUCAUCUCAGGGUCUCUGCCUGGAUGAGUGCUAGACCCAACCCCAAUCAAGCCCCCUCUUUGUAUAAGCUCCAUGUCAGUUUAAAUUCACUUCCUCGGGAAGGCCUCUCUUCUUUGGGUGCAUCCUCCCUUCUUAUUACAGCUUUAUUAAGAUAUAACUUCCAUUCCAUAAAAUCACCUUGUUUAAAAGGAAGGAUUCAGCGGUUCUUAGUUCAUUUUCAGAGUUGUGCAAACGUCACCACAAACUAACUUUAGAACGACCCCCUCUCCAAGUAAAAGAAAGUCAUUCUUCCCAUUCUCUGCUCCAGGGAACCAGUCAUCUAAUUCUGUUUGUGCAGAUUUGCCUUUUCUGGACAUUUCAUAUAAAUGGGAUCUUGCAAUAUACAAUCUUGAGUCUGGGCUCUUUCACUUAGUCUAAUGUUUUUGAGGUUGAUCAGUACCUCAUCUUUUAUUAAUUGCUCAUCAGUAUUCCAUUGUAUAGAUAAACCGCAUUUUAUUUAUCUGCUCACUCUAUUCACUGGAGGACAUUUUGGUAUUUCUACUUUCUGGUUGGUAUGAUAAAUGCUAUUGAGGAGUUUGCAUGCAAGCUGAAAGGUCUUUCUUGACCAUGUUGCCUCAAAGGGUUCCCUUGUCUCUUAUGUAUUCUCUUCAGACCCUGUUAACUUCUGUUAGAAUACUCUACUUUCAUUUGUCGUUCUACUUUCUUUUCCUUUUAAAAAAUAUGUCUCUCCAAUUAGAAUGUAGUCUCCAUGGAGCAGAAACUAGGACAGACUUGGUCAUCAGCAUAUCCCCAGUGUGAAGUACACUGUCGGCAGUUAAUAAAUAAUUGUCGAGUGAAUGAAUGAAUAAAUACAUCUUGCACUGAACAAUUUUUGGUGGCAUCCACACGACGUAUAUGUUAUACUUCCAAUAUCCACUUCCAGUCAAUAAAUGGGGAAGCACCAUUUUAAGGUAAUGUCUAUUCUCCUAGGACCAUCCCCCCAAUACAAAGCUAUUAAAAAACCAUGGCAGUCUUCAGGAAAACGUCAGAAGAAAAAUGUGGCUACCCACACACAAAGGAAAAUAAUUUAGCACUAAUCGCAUAUCAUAAAAUGUAAUGUAUAAAUGAUAUGCAGUUCUUCAUAAAUAUUUAUGAAGGGAAGGACUUGUUUAUAUACGAAACUACAUUCAGAGUGUCUAAUCUAACUCUGCCCAUAUCUUCCCAAGUGUCUGGAAUUCUGAUCUCUGAAACUGUGAUAUUAUAAAAAAGAUAUGACAUAUAUAGCAGAAACACACUUGUCAAGUGACCCUUUGAUUCAAGAGAAUAAAAAUAUAACCUGAAUUUAGAAACCACUAUGUUUUAAGCAUCGCACUUGCCUUGCCAGGGGCCAUUUUGACUUAUCUUCUUGUGCUCAAACUAACACUUUCUCAGACUAAGAAUAGGUAGAAGUCCAUAUUGAUACCAUAUAAGCCGAAACAAAAAGAUUUAUCCAUCUAUUUCACUCACAACUCUGCAAUUAUAAAGAAAUAUUCUAAAGAAAAUUAUAUGAAAAGAGAAAAAAUUUUCAAAUUAACAUAGUUCAUCACUUAAAGGGCAAAUCAGACUCCAAUGGAGGCUCCCCAUGUCUCCUAAAAUUGCCAUGGGACUCCUCAAAGCUCUCCUUUGUCCGGCUUAUAUUUCGUACUCAUAAUAUCACUACACCCUUACCUAUUAAAGUCCUUGAAUAUGGCUACUGACAUAAUGCAUGACUUGCCUUCUUCCAUGGUGGCUCUCAUGUUGUUAAACUUUUCACCUUUUUCUGACCAUGACUCUAGUCCAAGUCAGAUGCCCAGGCUGAUUCACGGCCUCUCAGUGUUGACUAAUACAUUGAAAAUUUUCCAGUGUGGCUGGCCAGCCUCUGGUCUUCCCCAGUAACUGACUUUCCUGAUGUGCUGAGACUGUGUUGGUUGGAGCGCUGAAAGAACCACAUUCUAGGAAACCCUUCAAUCCUGGGCAAAUUGGGACAGCUGGUUACCCUACUCCCAGAUUUUUAUGAAAAGUUUCUACCAAAGACUGUUGGUAGAUAUCCAUUAGCCUAGCCUUCUAUCUGAUCUAAACAGAUUUCUAAUACCUUUGUUUCCAUAGCCCGAUGAUGGAGCUGAGAUUAAAUGCACACUGCAGUUAUUUUAGAAAAGUCUUAAAAUGUGUAACUUAUUGACCCAGAAAUUUCACUUAAUCAGAGAUAUGUGCAAAGAUCUGGUUACAAGGAUUCUUAUUUCUAUGUUAUUAAUUAGAAUCAAACUUAAAAAAACCUAAAUAUUCAACCAUAGGCCAACGAUAGAUAAGAUAUGCCUCCAUUCCGUGGAAUAUUUAUGUGUGUAGCUUUUAAAAAAGCAAUGUAGGAGAAUAUUUAAUGGCAUGGGGAGGUUGUUCACAACUUUAGACUAGGAGAAGUCAACCUACAGAACAGUAUGUAGAUAUGACUCAAAAGUUUUUGCAAGGAAAAAAAUGUAUGAUACAUAUGGGUAUACACAUAUAAAUAUUUACAAACCAAAAUAUUGACAGUG